CCUACGGGCGGCUGCAGUGGGGAAUAUUGGACAAUGGGCGAAAGCCUGAUCCAGCCAUGCCGCGUGUGUGAAGAAGGCCUUCGGGUUGUAAAGCACUUUCAGUGGGGAAGAAAGCCUUGGGGCUAAUACCCUCGAGGAAGGACAUCACCCACAGAAGAAGCACCGGCUAACUCCGUGCCAGCAGCCGCGGUAAUACGGAGGGUGCGAGCGUUAAUCGGAAUUACUGGGCGUAAAGCGCGCGUAGGCGGUCUGAUAAGCCGGUUGUGAAAGCCCCGGGCUCAACCUGGGAACGGCAUCCGGAACUGUCAGGCUAGAGUGCAGGAGAGGAAGGUAGAAUUCCCGGUGUAGCGGUGACAUGCGUAGAGAUCGGGAGGAAUACCAGUGGCGAAGGCGGCCUUCUGGACUGACACUGACGCUGAGGUGCGAAAGCGUGGGUAGCAAACAGGAUUAGAUACCCCAGUAGUC
rnacentral:rRNA from 1 species